AUGGAGGCGGCUCUUGUCAGCGUGGCGACGGGGGUCCUCAAACCUGUCAUAGGGAAGUUGACCACUCUGCUUGGCAACGAGUACAAGCGUUUCAAAACAGUUCGCAAGGAGAUCAAGUCCCUCACUCAUGAACUUGCUGCCAUGGAGGCUUUUCUCCUCAAGAUGUCUGAAGAGGAGGAUCCCGAUGUGCAGGAUAAAGUAUGGAUGAAUGAGGUGCGGGAACUGUCCUAUGACCUGGAAGAUGCCAUCGAUGACUUCAUGCAAAGCAUCGGUGAUAAAGAUGAAAAGCCAGAUGGUUUCAUUGAGAAGAUCAAGAACUCACUAGGGAAGUUGGGGAAGAUGACGGCUCGCCAUCGGAUUGGCAAAGAGAUUCAGGAUCUAAAGAAACAAAUCAUUGAAGUGGGCAAGAGGAAUGCAAGAUACAGGAGUCACGAGGCCUUCUCCAAGACUGUCAAUGCGACCGUUGACCCUAGAGCUCUUGCUAUAUUCGAGCAUGCAUCCAAGCUUGUUGGAGUCGAUGAACCCAAGGCUGAGAUAAUCAAACUUUUGAUGGAAGCUGAUGUUCGUGCUUCAGAGCAGCAACAGCAACAACAACUGAAGAUAGUCUCCAUUGUUGGAUCUGGAGGUAUGGGCAAAACAACUCUUGCAAACCAAGUGUAUCAAGAGCUCAGAGGACAAUACGAGUGUUGGGCUUUCGUCUCAGUUUCACGAAAUCCAGACAUGACCAAAAUCUUGAGAACCAUUCUAAGUGAAGUGGCUAAGAAAGACUAUGCUACCACUGAAGCUGGGAAUAUACAACAACUCGUCAUCAAGAUCAUAGAUUUUCUAGCAGACAAAAGGUAUUUUGUUGUUGUUGACGAUAUAUGGGACGUGGAUACGUGGGAUAUUGUUAAGCGUGCAUUCCCCGCUACAAGUUCUACCAGUAGAAUAAUCACCACCACUCGUAUGAACAGUAUCGCUCAUUUAUGUUGUUCAUCAUUCAAUGGUCAUAUUUACAAUAUAAGGGCUCUUGAUAUGGUGCACUCAAGACAGUUAUUUCACACAAGAUUAUUCAAGUCUGAUGAAGAUUGCCCUUCAUACCUUCAAGAAAUUUCUGAGCAGAUAUUGGAAAAAUGCGAUGGGUUACCUUUGGCGAUCAUUGCUAUAUCUGGUUUGUUGGCUAACACAGAAAGAACAAAAAAUAUAUGGAAUCAAGUAAAAGAUUCAAUUGGCCGUGCACUUGAAAGGAAUCCUAGUGUCGAAGGAAUGAUGAAGAUUUUGUCACUUAGUUACUUUGAUCUUCCUCCUUAUCUAAAAACUUGCCUCUUAUACCUAAGCAUAUAUCUAGAAGAUUCUACUAUUGAGAAGAAAGGCCUGAUAAGAAGAUGGAUUGCUGAAGGGUUCAUUCAUAGAGAGGGCAGAUACACGGCAUAUGAGUUAGGAGAAAGGUGUUUUAAUGAAUUACUCAACAGGGGUUUGAUCCAACCCGCAGAGACAAAUUUAUAUGGCAUAGUGAAGAGUUGUCGAGUUCAUGACACUAUUCUUGAUUUCAUCACAUUCAAGUCCAGAGAAGAGAACUUCAUUACUUUACUUGGUGUACCCAUUUUGACAAAUGAGAACCAAAGCAAAGUUGUUCGUCGACUCUGUCUACAAGGUGUCGAAGAAGGAAAUUCAACAAUACUGACAGCAGGUCUGGUGUUGUCCCAUGUCCGAUCCCUUAUUUUGGUUAGAGGUCUUGUGGAAAUCCCUUCGUUGGAGGAGUUCAGCCAUUUGCGUAUUCUCGACUUGAGCUUCCAACCAUUGGAGGAUCAUCAUCUUGAAGUUAUAGUGAGGUUGUUCCAGCUGAGGUACCUAAACCUCCAACGUACAAAAAUAAGUAAGCUCCCAGAACAAAUUGGUCAUUUAGGAUGCUUAGAGGUGCUGGACCUAAGAGGGACUUUUGUAAAGGAAUUACCUGCAUCUAUUGUUAAUCUUAGAAAGUUGAUGCAUCUACUUGUUAGAUCCGCUUUGGAAUAUUCAUUAAGAUGA
rnacentral:rRNA from 1 species